AUGAGAUUGUACUUUUUAAUCCUUUUGCUCGUGAGCAACUGAGGAAAGUUGCUAGGUUGUCGAUGAGGGAUGGUUCUCCUUUGAAAGAGGGGCCACCUCUUGCACUAUCCACAGCAUUUUUGGAUUUGUUCAAUGCAGCUAGUGAUCCAAUUUAUGAACAAUA